rnacentral:rRNA from 1 species
UACAUAGGGUGCAAGCGUUGUCCGGAAUUAUUGGGCGUAAAGAGCUCGUAGGCGGUCUGUCACGUCGGAUGUGAAAAUCCAGGGCUUAACCCUGGACCUGCAUUCGAUACGGGCAGACUAGAGUUCGGUAGGGGAGACUGGAAUUCCUGGUGUAGCGGUGAAAUGCGCAGAUAUCAGGAGGAACACCGGUGGCGAAGGCGGGUCUCUGGGCCGAUACUGACGCUGAGGAGCGAAAGCGUGGGGAGCGAACAGG